CGUAAAUAAACGCUUUUUAUCUUUUUAUAGGUAUAGCGAUAUGAUCGCUUAUUCGCCCGAACAAAACGAUGUAAUUUUAAAUGAAGCCAUAUUGGCUGAAAGCAUAACACCUGUUUGUAGCCGUAAACGGAGGUUUGAGGAAGAGACAGCUACACCCAGAACUUUGAAACGUAAAUGUUUGCGUUACAAACAAUUAUACGUGAAAAAAAACAACAUGCUAAAGGCAUCAAGGCGCAAGCUAAAGAGGAAAGAGAUUAAAAUUCAAUCUUUGGAAUUCUUGCUUGAUGUACUUCAAAAAAGAAAUCUCAUUUCCAAAACUGUAUCAUGAAAUCCGUUCGUAAUUCAAAAUUGUAUGAGAUUUUCCACUACGAACGAAUUUCAUGAUACAGUUUUUCGGGAUUCGUAAAAAUUUCCGAUUACGAUGGAAUUCAUGAUAGUGCUAAUUAUUUGUUUUAUGUCCCGCCCAUUCCCAUUAAAGUUUUCGAAUUAUAAAACGGA